AGAUUGAACGCUGGCGGCAGGCCUAACACAUGCAAGUCGAACGGUAACAGGAAGCAGCUUGCUGCUUUGCUGACGAGUGGCGGACGGGUGAGUAAUGUCUGGGAAACUGCCCGAUGGAGGGGGAUAACUACUGGAAACGGUAGCUAAUACCGCAUAACGUCGCAAGACCAAAGAGGGGGACCUUAGGGCCUCUUGCCAUCGGAUGUGCCCAGAUGGGAUUAGCUAGUAGGUGGGGUAACGGCUCACCUAGGCGACGAUCCCUAGCUGGUCUGAGAGGAUGACCAGCCACACUGGAACUGAGACACGGUCCAGACUCCUACGGGAGGCAGCAGUGGGGAAUAUUGCACAAUGGGCGCAAGCCUGAUGCAGCCAUGCCGCGUGUAUGAAGAAGGCCUUCGGGUUGUAAAGUACUUUCAGCGGGGAGGAAGGGAGUAAAGUUAAUACCUUUGCUCAUUGACGUUACCCGCAGAAGAAGCACCGGCUAACUCCGUGCCAGCAGCCGCGGUAAUACGGAGGGUGCAAGCGUUAAUCGGAAUUACUGGGCGUAAAGCGCACGCAGGCGGUUUGUUAAGUCAGAUGUGAAAUCCCCGGGCUCAACCUGGGAACUGCAUCUGAUACUGGCAAGCUUGAGUCUCGUAGAGGGGGGUAGAAUUCCAGGUGUAGCGGUGAAAUGCGUAGAGAUCUGGAGGAAUACCGGUGGCGAAGGCGGCCCCCUGGACGAAGACUGACGCUCAGGUGCGAAAGCGUGGGGAGCAAACAGGAUUAGAUACCCUGGUAGUCCACGCCGUAAACGAUGUCGACUUGGAGGUUGUGCCCUUGAGGCGUGGCUUCCGGAGCUAACGCGUUAAGUCGACCGCCUGGGGAGUACGGCCGCAAGGUUAAAACUCAAAUGAAUUGACGGGGGCCCGCACAAGCGGUGGAGCAUGUGGUUUAAUUCGAUGCAACGCGAAGAACCUUACCUGGUCUUGACAUCCACGGAAGUUUUCAGAGAUGAGAAUGUGCCUUCGGGAACCGUGAGACAGGUGCUGCAUGGCUGUCGUCAGCUCGUGUUGUGAAAUGUUGGGUUAAGUCCCGCAACGAGCGCAACCCUUAUCCUUUGUUGCCAGCGGUCCGGCCGGGAACUCAAAGGAGACUGCCAGUGAUAAACUGGAGGAAGGUGGGGAUGACGUCAAGUCAUCAUGGCCCUUACGACCAGGGCUACACACGUGCUACAAUGGCGCAUACAAAGAGAAGCGACCUCGCGAGAGCAAGCGGACCUCAUAAAGUGCGUCGUAGUCCGGAUUGGAGUCUGCAACUCGACUCCAUGAAGUCGGAAUCGCUAGUAAUCGUGGAUCAGAAUGCCACGGUGAAUACGUUCCCGGGCCUUGUACACACCGCCCGUCACACCAUGGGAGUGGGUUGCAAAAGAAGUAGGUAGCUUAACCUUCGGGAGGGCGCUUACCACUUUGUGAUUCAUGACUGGGGUGAAGUCGUAACAAGGU
rnacentral:rRNA from 1 species